GAAAUGCGAUAAGUAGUGUGAAUUGCAGAAUUCAGUGAAUCAUCGAAUCUUUGAACGCACAUUGCGCCCUUUGGUAUUCCUUAGGGCAUGCCUGUUCGAGCGUCAUUUAAACCUCCAAGCCCUGCUUGGUGUUGGGUGCCUGUCCCGCCCCGCGCGUGGACUCACCUCAAAUCCAUUGGCGGCCCCCGCAUGGCCACGAGCGCAGCAGAAACGCAAACUCGUGUGCCGGACCGGGCGGCUCCCAGAAGCUACACUCACCAUUUUUGACCUCGGAUCAGGUAGGGAUACCCGCUGAACUUAAGC
rnacentral:misc_RNA from 1 species